GGUCCCGUAGUUCAGUGGUAGAACAACCGCCUUUUAAGCGGGCUGUCGUAGGUUCGAUCCCUACCGGGAUCA
rnacentral:tRNA from 1 species